rnacentral:lncRNA from 1 species
GUCUUCUUGCUUCUCUCCUGGAGAAGGGAGAGUUGUGCAUCUUCUUAGCAUUACAUAUGGAAAAUUUACCAAGUGAAUCGCAAAAAUCUUAUUGCAAAACUGGAAUUGUCAUCUGUGAAGCAAGCAAGCCAAAAAGGAUUAUUGCAGUGGACUGCUCUACAGAGGAUCUUCAUGCUGUGCCCAAAGUACUGUUAAGGUUUCCUAAUGUUCUGAAAAGCUGUGAAGUAUACUUAUCUCGAAUGCCUUGCAACUAUUGUGCAAAAUUGCUCGUUCAAGCACAAGUCUCACAAGUGUACUACUGGCCUAAUUUUGAAAUAAAGGCGGACAAGGCCUUUAGUGAUGAGCUGGUAAAACAUACGAAUACCAUCUUUUCAGAAAGCUAUGUCAUUGCAGCAGUCUUCGUACCAGCAAUAAAUGAUCAAAGAAAGCAGCAGAUACUUGUUUCAAAUAAAAGAGCAUCUUCUGGUGGUGAAUGCUUUGCAAUUACAUCUAUAUUUGAUAACAAAUGUAGCUUAGAGCUUCUUAAAUUGGGACACCUGAAAGACGAACAACAGAAAAAGUAUAAAGAAAAUCUAACUAAAUAA